rnacentral:tRNA from 1 species
GGAGAGGUGUCCGAGUGGCUUAAGGUGCACGCCUGGAACGCGUGUAUGGAUUAAUAGUCCAUCGCGGGUUCGAAUCCCGCCCUCUCCG